UACUUUUGCCGCUCGAUUACCAAAGCGGUCGUCGGUACAUAAAAAUCAUUUAAAUAAUAUUGGCAUG
rnacentral:ncRNA from 1 species